AUUGAACGCUGGCGGCAGGCCUUACACAUGCAAGUCGAACGGUAACAGGAAGCAGCUUGUUGCUUUGCUGACGAGUGGCGGACGGGUGAGUAAUGUCUGGGAAACUGACUGAUGGAGGGGGCUAACUACUGGAAACGGUUGCUAAUACCGCAUAACGUCGCAAGACCAAAGAGGGGGACCUUCGGGCCUCUUGCCAUCGGAUGUGCCCAGAUGGGAUUAGCUAGUAGGUGGGGUAACGGCUCACCUAGGCGACGAUCCCUAGCUGGUCUGAGAGGAUGACCAGCCACACUGGAACUGAGACAUGGUCCAGACUCCUACGGGAGGCAGCAGUGGGGAAUAUUGCACAAUGGGCGCAAGCCUGAUGCAGCCAUGCCGCGUGUAUGAAGAAGGCCUUCGGGUUGUAAAGUACUUUCAGCGGGGAGGAAGGGAGUAAAGUUAAUACCUUUGCUCAUUGACGUUACCCGCAGAAGAAGCACCGGCUAACUCCGUG
rnacentral:rRNA from 1 species